UUUCAUUUUCAUAUUAUGCGACUUUGAUUAUGCUUUAAUCGAACUUUUUCAGUCUCUGCCUUGAUUGUGCAAUUAUGUAGAUGUUCGAGUUGGGGGCUUGCUGGCAUUUUGCAAGCUGUUUAACGCUCUUACAACCCUUUACCUGUGCGCGUGUGUGUGCGGGUGUGUGUGUGUGUUUGGGCCAGCUCGAAUUGCUGUGCUGUGCCUCCAGGGGGGGCCAGGCUCGGGUUGCUAAUGAGCCGACAGCGUUAGCUAAUUGAGCAUGUCCGAAGCUACAAACGAAAUUAAUGUGAAAAUUGAUGCCCCGAUGCGACGACCCUCAAAACUUUUGCAUUUGAAAAAGACAGAGAUAGUGGCAGAGAGAGAGAGAGAGAGAGAGAGUGAGAGAGC